UCGUGGUCGGGCAUGCGCAGGAAGGGAACAGGAAGGAUACAUAGUGUAACUGUCUCCCGGGGCUGUGCCAUCCAGGAUCUUCAAUAUCCUGCCCUGGGCUGCUUUCCCUGCCAGAGAUUUUCCUGAUUGAACUGUACCAGAGGCUGAAUAAGCAGGACUGCGGGCUAGUUUGGAGGGACCCUGAAGCAAAGGAGGUUUCUAACACUGAAGUAUGAUUAUUCUGCAGUCUGGUGAGAGUUCUCUUUGCCUGCGGUAUCACUGCUCUGGAUAAUAGAAUCUUAUUGACGUUGACACAGGCUUGGAGGUCAUCUACCCUUUACAACAAGAGAGCAGGUAGCUUUUCAGUUGUCUUUAUCAAACAUUACCAAAAUGAAAAAGAUAAGAAAGGUGGGCUACUGUCGGCUGUUGGUUCGUUGGUAAUCUAGAAGCAUAGCAAUAGAAAACUAAUAAUCAAUGAACUUGAACAUAGUUCCUUUGACUAUUAAUGCCUUGUUUUAGUUUACUCUUAAGUCAUUUUGGGAUUUGGAUCUUGAUGUCUAAAUUAGCCCUGGAGGGAGCUUAGGAAAAAACUACAGCUCCUGGACGCAUUGGGCUGGAAAGGUGUCCACCUCCUGAGCUCCUCAGGCACAUGUGAGGCCCAGGGAUCUCAGACAGUCGAGACCCUGCCCACGUCUUCACUCUGCUCUCUGCACACUUACUUCCCAG
rnacentral:lncRNA from 1 species